rnacentral:rRNA from 1 species
GACGAACGCUGGCGGCGUGCCUAAUACAUGCAAGUCGAACGCAGUGGGGACGGGUGAGUAACACGUGGGUAACCUCCCAUCAGAGGGGAUAACACUUGGAAACAGGUGCUAAACCGAUACUGAUGGAUGGACACGCGGUGCAUUAGCUAGUGGGUGAGGUAACGGCGCACCAAGGCAACGAGGCAUAGCGGGCCUGAUAGGUUGAGAGGCAACACUGGGAAGGAGACACGGCCCAGACUCCGACGGGAGGCAGCAGUAGGGAAUAUUCGGCAAUGGACGAAAGUCUGACCGAGCAACGCCGCGUGAGUGAAGAAGGUUUGCGGAUCGUAAAACUCUGUUGUUAGAGAAGCGGUAUCUAACCAGAAAGCCACGGCUAACUACGUGCCAGCAGCCGCGGUAAUUC